GUGCUUGAUUUAGAGGUACAUAUACUGAAAUUAGAAUACUAUUGAGAAGAUUAGCAUGGCCUCUGAACAAAGAUCACAUGCCAAUUCCUGACAUGGUCAAGAUGGUU